GCGCUCACUCGCUCCCCCCUCCCCUCUUGCGCGCGCGCCGUCCACUUUCCAAAGCCGAGCCCCGCCGCUCGCUCACAGCCGAACGUGUUGCCUCCUCCUCCUCCUCCCCGGCAGCUCCACCCACAAGAUGGAAGCGGAGGUGGAGGGGGGAGAGAGAGAGAGAGAGAGAGAGGGAGGGGAAGGCCGAGAUCUUCCCUUCCUCCACCCCCCCCUCCUCACUUCUCGCGCGCGCGCCGGCACGCUCGCGCCCCUUGCCUUGCCGGAGGCACGUUAGCGCGGCUCCUGAUUGGACAAGAAGUCCCUCCAAGAAGUUCAUCUUUCCCCGUUGCAGCCGUGAGGACCUUUUCUCUUCUGUCUUCUUCAUAUCUAACACUGAAACCAGGCUGGAAGAAAAAUGCCUACAGCGGUAGAACACAGGUGACAUCUUUAUAGAACAGCACAUGAAUGGUGGCACCCUGUAUGAUGAACUCUGUAAGUGCCUGUUCCUUAGAAAACCCAAAUUUGCCGCUUGUCAAGGAGGUGACGGUAUCCCAGUCCAUCAAAGGUUGCACCCCUUCCAGCAACUCCAUCUGUUUGACUUGAAGGCUUCUGAUUCAGUCCUGGUGAACUCUAGCUCUUUGAUGAAGAGAGGACACAGCUUUCAAAGAUGUCUUCUUUUUGAAGGCUUUUUCUACCGCUCCAGGU